GACCAGGGACUCUGUUGUCAUAGCUUCAGGGGAGAUGCUCAUUCCACCAUCAGAGGGCAUAGCUUCAGGGGGAAGAUGAACAGGGACUCUGUUGUCAUAGCUUCAGGGGAAGAUGAACAGGGACUCUGUUGUCAUAGCUUCAGGGGGAGAUGAACAGGGACUCUGUUGUCAUAGCUUCAGGGGAAGCUCAUUCCACCAUCGGAGGGCAUAGCUUCAGGGGAAGCUCAUUCCACCAUCGGAGGACAUAGCUUCAGGGGAAGCUCAUUCCACCAUCGGAGGGCAUAGCUUCAGGGGAAGCUCAUUCCACCAUCGGAGGACAUAGCUUCAGGGGAAGCUCAUUCCACCAUCGGAGGACAUAGCUUCAGGG
ensembl:lncRNA